rnacentral:rRNA from 1 species
CAGUAGCCACGGUAAUACGGAGGGGGUUAGCGUUGUUCGGAAUUACUGGGCGUAAAGCGCACGUAGGCGGCUUGGUAAGUUAGAGGUGAAAGCCCGGAGCUCAACUCCGGAAUUGCCUUUAAGACUGCCGAGCUAGUAGGUGAGAGAGGUAAGUGGAAUUCCGAGUGUAGAGGUGAAAUUCGUAGAUAUUCGGAAGAACACCAGUGGCGAAGGCGGCUUACUGGCUCAUUCUAGACGCUGAGGUGCGAAAGCGUGGGGAGCAAACAGGAUUAGAUACCCCUGUAGUCCCUGUCUCUUAUAC